UCCAGCCCCGGGAGUCAAAACGCCAUCUGUUGAUGGGGCCCCGCCAAAGCUGACAUAGACAGGUCCAGCCUCCAGGUGCCCCCACACCGUUUUCUUGCAUUAUGAAGCUGAGCGGCUUCUUUCUACUCUCUGUGAACAUCCUCCUUUGCCUCUGAAUGACCCAGCCUGGAGUCUUGAGGAGUGCAGCUGCACGGAAACCGGGAUAUUGCCCAGAGUUUGAUCUUGACUGCCCUUUCACUCUCUUACCUAUGCGCUGGCGUGAUAAGAGUUGCAGGGGGUCAAGAAGUGUUGCUACUACAACUGUCGGCAUCAGUGUAUGGAGCCCUGGUGGACUUUGGAUUGAGAUGGAAAGCCCUUCUUAACCAGGACUGAGGAGACACAAGUGCUACAGGCUCAGUCUGGGAUAACUGGUCUCCAUGUUGUCCAUGAUCGCUCAGGCCCAGAACUUCCUUUUAGCAAGAGUUAAAUGCUUCUUACUAUGAUAACAAGACGAAGAAAUAAAGCGUUGUAUAUUUAAAACUCUUUGAAAAUCUAAGUCUGCUGGAUUGAUCUCUUGCUCUCCCUCUCUACUCAGCCAUGUUGCAUAAUCCCUUAGGAACUGUAAAAUGGACAGAGUUACUGUUUCACAUUUAGUUUCAUCAAUUCCUGCACUUGUGUUUUUCUGAUAUAUUUGUCUCUUUCAAUAUCUCCUGACACUCAGAUUCUCUGUU
rnacentral:lncRNA from 1 species